rnacentral:lncRNA from 1 species
AUCUCUUAAGUACAACCGGUUAUGGCCCUCCUCCAGAUGCUAAUGGCUACACAGUCUCCCAAAUAUAAAUGGCUAUAGCCAUCCCCCCGAGCAUAAGCGGCUAUGGCCAAUCCCCAAAUGUAAAAAUGGUUACGGCCAUUCUCCAGGUGCGCAGAAGGCUACGACCAUCUCCUGAAAUGUAGGCGACUACAGACGUCGUCAAGGCACAAAAUGAUUACGAUCAUUCUCAAAUA